UAGUAAUGCGACAGCCAAGUAGAAAUUGGAAUGAGUACAAUUUAAACCCCUUAACGAGGAACAAUUGGAGGGCAAGUCUGGUGCCAGCAGCCGCGGUAAUUCCAGCUCCAA
rnacentral:ncRNA from 1 species